GCGGUACCGGUUCACGCUCGCGCCCGCGCCCCCGGGGCGGAAGGCGCUGCGACCCGGCGACC
rnacentral:ncRNA from 1 species